GAUGAACGCUAGCGGCAGGCCUAAUACAUGCAAGCCCAGCGCUGUUUGGUGUAGCAAUACAUCAAACAACCGGCGGACGGGUGCGUAACGCGUAUGCCACCUACCCUAUACAGGAGGAUAGCCCUCGGAAACGAGGACUAAUACUCCAUACGCUUGCUUAGUGGCAUCUUUAAGAAAUUAAAGCCGCAAGGCGGUCUAGGAUGGGGGUGCGUCCGAUUGGCUAGUUGGUGCGGUAACGGCUCACCCAGGCGAUGCUCGGGAGGGGUUAUGAGAGGAAGAUCCACCACACGGGAACUGAGACACGGGCCCGUCUCCGACGGGGGGCAGCAGUAAGGAAUAUUAGGCGAUGGGGGAAGGCCUAAUCCAGCCAUGCCGCGGGCAGGAAGAAGGCCCUAUGGGUUGUAAACUGCUUUGGAGGGGGAGAAAUAAGGGCGAAGCGUCGCUCGAUGAUGGUACUUCUCGAAUAAGCAUCGGCUAACUUCGUG
rnacentral:rRNA from 1 species